UAAUAUCUUCAGGGCAGGGUGAAAUUCCCGAUCGGCGGUAUAGUCCGCGAACGCUACGGCGUAGGAGCUUUCAGCUCAUGAUUUGGUGUGAUUCCAAAACCGACAGUAUAGUCUGGAUGGAAGAAGAUACAU
rnacentral:ncRNA from 2 species